AUGUUGAGUAACAAUAGAUUCUCUGGCAACUUCCCAUCGGUUCUAAAAAAUUGUGGACAAUUGAAGGCUCUAGAUUUGUCACGUAAUAGUUUUUCUGGAAAGUUGCCAUUGUGGAUUGGAGAUUUGGUUGAAUUACGAUUUUUGCGGCUAAACCAGAAUAAGUUUUCCGGAGAAAUCCCAGCCACCAUCUCAAAUCUUAAUCGCCUUCACCAUCUGAACCUAGCAGGAAAUGACUUAUCUGGCGGCAUACCGAGGCAUCUGCCAAAUGUGACGGCCAUGACAAGAAAGCUUGAUUCAGAACCUAUUGACGGUUACCCAGAAAUAGUUGGUACAUAUGAUUUUUCCUCUGUGGUCGUCAAGGGACGGGAACUUAAUUAUAGUAUUGGCAUUUUGGAAUUGGUGAGCAUUGACUUAUCUUUCAACCAACUGUCUGGGAGAAUACUAGAAGAAUUAGUUGCUCUUGAUGCGUUGAUGAACUUGAAUCUAUCAUGUAACCACUUGAGUGGGAAAAUUCCAAUUAAGCUUGGGGCCUUGCAGGCUUUGGAAUCACUUGACCUCUCAAGGAACAUGCUUUCUGGUGGAAUCCCUUCAAGCCUAUCAGAUAUAACCUAUUUGAGCUACUUAGACUUGUCUGAUAACAAUCUAACAGGGAGAAUACCACCAGGACGUCAGCUUGACACCCUCUACACCCAGCAACCUUUCAUGUACAAUGGCAACAAUGGUCUAUGUGGCCCUCCUCUUCCAAACAGUUGCCCCGGAAAGAAUGCAACAACACAAGAUGAUCCAAAAAGGAAUGAUCAUUCCUUUGAGCCAAUGACCUUUUAUUUUGGACUCGCUCUGGGAUUUAUUCUAGGUCUUUGGGUUGUGUUCUGCAUCAUGUUGCUUAAGAAAGCAUGGAGAAUUGCUUAUUUCCGUGUGGUUGACAGGACAUAUGAUCAGAUGUAUGUAUUUGCCGUUCUUACAUGGCAAAGCUGGGCCAGCAAGGGAGCUACAAAUUGA
rnacentral:rRNA from 1 species